rnacentral:rRNA from 1 species
GACGAACGCUGGCGGCGUGCUUAACACAUGCAAGUCGAACGAUGACGCCCGAGCUUGCUCGGUCUGAUUAGUGGCGAACGGGUGAGUAACACGUGAGCAACCUGCCCUUCACUCUGGGAUAACCUCGGGAAAUCGGGGCUAAUACCGGAUAUGAGCUCCUGUCGCAUGGCGGGUGUUGGAAAGUUUUUCGGUGAAGGAUGGGCUCGCGGCCUAUCAGUUUGUUGGUGAGGUAGUGGCUCACCAAGGCGAUGACGGGUAGCCGGCCUGAGAGGGCGACCGGCCACACUGGGACUGAGACACGGCCCAGACUCCUACGGGAGGCAGCAGUGGGGAAUAUUGCACAAUGGGCGAAAGCCUGAUGCAGCGACGCCGCGUGAGGGAUGACGGCCUUCGGGUGGUAAACCUCUUUCAGCAGGGAAGAAGCGAAAGUGACGGUACCGGCAGAAGAAGCGCCGGCUAACUACGU